rnacentral:rRNA from 1 species
AACGAACGCUGGCGGCAGGCCUAACACAUGCAAGUCGAGCGAGCAUUUCGGUGCUAGCGGCGGACGGGUGAGUAACGCGUGGGAACGUGCCCUUUUCUGCGGAAUAGUCCUGGGAAACUGGGGGUAAUACCGCAUACGCCCUUUUGGGGAAAGAUUUAUCGGAGAAGGAUCGGCCCGCGUUGGAUUAGGUAGUUGGUGGGGUAAUGGCCCACCAAGCCGACGAUCCAUAGCUGGUUUGAGAGGAUGAUCAGCCACACUGGGACUGAGACACGGCCCAGACUCCUACGGGAGGCAGCAGUGGGGAAUCUUAGAAAAUGGGGGCAAUCCUGAUCUAGCCAUGCCGGGUGAGUGAUGAAGGCCUUAGGGUUGUAAAGCUCUUUCAGCUGGGAAGAUAAUGACGGUACCAGCAGAAGAAGCCCCGGCUAACUCCGUG